rnacentral:rRNA from 1 species
UCCGUAGGUGAACCUGCGGAGGGAUCAUUACCGAGUUUACAACUCCCAAACCCAAUGUGAACGUUACCAAACUGUCCUUCCGUAGGUGAACCUGCGGAAGGAUCAUUA